rnacentral:misc_RNA from 1 species
UUAAGUUCGCGAGCGGUAGUCUUACUUGAUUUGAGAUCGAGUUGAACAACACAUAAAGUGUCGUAAAAUCCUGCAUCAGUCAGCAAAGAGGACAAUUAUCCUUUAUGUUAGCUGCAGCAAAAGUAAUAAUCCUGUUUGACGAGGACUAAAUAGAUAUGCUUUUAGCUCAGAUAAAAGUCCAGCUGCACCUGCAUUUCAAG